UUGUAUCAUCACACCUUACUCCUGUCUCUUGCUGAUAUCGUAACUGAGGCUGGUGAACCAUGAAUACCAAGAGCAUUGUAUUCCUGCUGGUGCUGGUGAUCGUGGCCGUCACCGUUGUCAAUGGAAGCAUCAAGUAUCCCUGCCCACAAGUCAACGGGUUUUGUGUAAGUUUUUGUAGUUACGGACAAGAAAUAUCUACCGGCAUCUGCUACGGCAAUAAUAUAUGUUGCAGGGUAAAACAGCCUUACCACUAGUCCACAACAGUGGCCAGACCUGACGGACGCCACCAUGACCUAUAAGAAGACACCCUCAACUGUGUUUGGUGAUCAUCGACGAAACUUCUGUUUUCACAUGCGAUUCGAGAACUUGCUUUACCUAUGAUUUUUUUUAAGCAUUUGAAUUCUGCAACAACCUUUAUUUUCUUGUUCUUGCACAUUUUAAGAAAUGAUGGAGAAUAUUAGUAAAAUUUAAUUUAACUUGAGACUUGCGUCAUUAGCAUGCGCAUCUGCUUAUUUUUGACGUGUAUUGCCUUGUUAAUUCCCUCAUCUAUAAAUGAUAACAUUUAUCUUUGUUUUGAGAUCUUGAUAAUAAAAUUGUUAUGCUAAAACUGAAA
rnacentral:lncRNA from 1 species